rnacentral:rRNA from 1 species
CUGGCUCAGGACGAACGCUGGCGCCGUGCUUAACACAUGCAAGUCGAACGAAGAGCGAUGGAAGCUUGCUUCUAUCAAUCUUAGUGGGGAACGGGUGAGUAACGCGUAAUCAACCUGCCCUUCAGAGGGGGACAACAGUUGGAGACGACUGCUAAUACCGCAUACGAUCCGACCUCGGCAUCGAGGAUGGAUGAAAAGUGGCCUCUAUUUAUAAGCUAUCACUGAAGGAGGGGAUUGCGUCUGAUUAGCUAGUUGGAGGGGUAACGGCCCACCAAGGCAAUGAUCGGUAGCCGGUCUGAGAGGAUGAACGGCCACAUUGGGACUGAAACACGGCCCAGACUCCUACGGGAGGCAGCAGUGGGAAAUCUUCCGCAAUGGACGAAAGUCUGACGGAGCAACGCCGCGUGAGUGAUGACGGCCUUCGGGUUGUAAAGCUCUGUUAAUCGGGACGAAAGGUCCUCUUGCGAAUAGUUAGAGGAAUUGACGGUACCGGAAUAGAAAGCCACGGCUAACUACGUGCCAGCGGCCGCGGUAAUACGUAGGUGGCAAGCGUUGUCCGGAAUUAUUGGGCGUAGAGCGCGCGCAGGCGGAUCAGUUAGUCUGUCUUAAAAGUUCGGGGCUUAACCCCGUGAUAGGAUGGAAACUGCUGAUCUAGAGUAUCGGAGAGGAAAGUGGAAUUCCUAGUGUAGCGGUGAAAUGUGUAGAUAUUAGGAAGAACACCA